GCUACAUAACUCUUCUCUCUAUCUUCCCUCUCAAAACCCUAGCGCAGCCAUGUCUGAAGUGGAGGAUGCUUGAAGCGGAUUUUACGACGGCGGAUAAACACUAAUCAAAUGAUUCUUCUUCACUCCGAUUAUACCUUAAUCAAAUGAUUUCUUCAUUCGCCUCUCCAAGCUCUGAAACCCUAGAUUCACAACUUCAUAACUGCUCGAUUUUGUUGGUUUAGAAAACUUCAUCAACUACUGUGAUAAUGAAUGAGAAAGGGCAGCCGAUUAUACUCUUUCAUGGCUGUUUGAUCAUCGAGAACUGUUUUAUUUGCAAUUUUUGACUACUGAUACCCUAAUUUGUUCAUCGGAGGACAUGAUUGAAGGUAACAUUUAAUUUGAUACGAUACAUGCAUCUGUUAGUUCUGCCGAUCAGAAAAGUGAUCGUAUCCUUCAAAAUUGUUAUAAGAAAAGAUAUUGUUGUUGGUCUAUACUGCUGAUGAUCAUCUAAUGUUGUUAGUUAUGUUGGAUUCCACACAUCCUGACAAUCGUUGUACCAUGAUGCUAUCUAGCAUGGAAAUGGGUACGGGGACGAUACGGGUACGGGGAACGGCAAAACUCAAAAAUUCAAGAUACGGGUACGGCAAAGAUUCAAUUUUAGUCUGAAAGAAGGUAAUGAAGAGGAGCAUGAAGGGUUGGGAAUAUGAACGUAUUUGAAGAUACCCCCAAUUUUCUUUUCGAUUUCACUACUGCUGAAAUCGAAAAUUACCACCGUCAGAAUAUUUGUUUUCAUGAUUUAAUCCUUUUUUACAGAAUAUCUCAAUCUCCGUGUCCAGCUGAUCGUUCUAUGUCACCAACUCGGUCCCUUUUUUUUAUCAUUACUAAAGCUUUUUAAGGAGGUACAUGCUCCGGAUCGGUUAGCAAAUCCCUUUCUAAUUCCAGAAGUCAUUCAAGGUAUUGGAUGUCAGAGGCGAGCUAUGGAAUUGAAAUGGCUAAAGUACAGGUAGUGAGCGAUGGUAUAUGGUAGAAGGCGGAUUUCAAAACAUGAAGGCCAAUAGUGGUACAUCGGAAACCUCUGUCAUUUCAGAUGAUAUUUGAUCUUCUACUAGAUGAGAUUUCAUCGCCAUAAUUUGUGUGUUUGCUCUUGUGAUUGAGACUACCAGUUUUAAUUGCUCCAACCCGUCUCCAGUGUGUUUAAGACAAUUUUAUCAGGUAUUAAUUGCUUUCUUAGUUGGUUGGUGAGACGUUCAAACCGUCGUGGCUCUCGUGUUAAUUCCUUUGAUAAUCUUGAUAAGAUUAGGCAAGGGAUGCAUAGCAAUUAAUGAUAAGGUAAACAAUGCAUCAUUUCAAGAUGUAGCUCAUGCAACAGCGUUAGCUUAAUUUGCUCAUGAGUAGGUAAAGUCUUGAUUUAUAUCGGUAUAUCUUAAACAAUGAUCCCAUCUAUAUUCAAGGUUUAUAUCUUUUGUUGUUUUUUUUUUUUGUAAAAUUCAUUUAAAAAUAAAAAAAAACUUAUAAUGGUUGCCUUGAAAUGACAUGAAACCGAAAAACUAGUAUGUAUUGUUUAUUUAUUGUCGAUUGUUGGCCAUGGCAGUCUAAUAAACCGAGCCGAGCCAAAUGGCUGAGUUGCUUAACUGGUCAAAAAGCAACAUCACACAAUAGUAAAAGUCUACACCAAUUAGUCACAUAUUUAAGGUAGACGAAGUUUCUUUUCUAUUAAAGUGAGAUUGCAUUGGCAACCACAGUAGAAUUUAGGAGUGUCAUUGCUUAAAUUGUUACUAUAGAUUAUUAUGCAUCUUUUGACUAUUAAAAUCCAAGUUUUAUAUGUGUGUGUGUGUGUGUAUAUAGAGGAAGGUUAACGUACAUUACGGCUUAACGUACAUUACGGCUUAACGUACUUCACGUACGACGAGUAAUUACGCACGUUCAUUUUAAAAUCACGCACGUUAUAACUCAAAAAUCCAAAAUCACGCAUGUUGAAAACAUUAAUCACGCAUGUUAUAGAACAAAUCACGCACGCUAUUGUACGUGAAGUACGUUAAGCCGUAAUGUACGAUAUACUUUUUCUAUAUAUAUAUAUAUGUGUGUGUGUGUGUAUAUAAUGUUUUAAGGAAAAUUUCAUGUACUGAACACUUACAAAUUUUAUUAUUUUAAGUGUCCAUUUAGAUCAUAGAGUGAGGAACGACCGUAUUGGUGGAAGUAAUGAUUUGCUAUUAUCCUUGAGGUUUAAUUAGAUUAGUUUAAAUGGAGUGGUUUUCUUGACUUUUCAAUGGCCUCAGCUCAGAAGUAGCUGAAUUGAAAAGGCUAUCGGAAGAUAUCAGAAAUUACUCCUUCGGCAUGGGCUAGGAUAAGUAAAAAUGGUUGCUGGACGCUUCGGGUCAAUUCUCGGUGCGGAGCUUUAGGAGACACGUGAAGGGGCUUUAUUUUUCUUACUUUGGUAACAAUUUCGUAUGGAAUAAAUGAGUGUCUCUUAAAGUAAAGUUAUGUCAUGUUGAGUCUCUCUCUAUCGGAUCAACCAUUGGUACCGCAUAGCAUCCACACCGGUAUUUAUUUAAUAUUUUUAACACUUAUAAUUUUAUUGGUUCUUUUUGUAGCGGGGUCUCGAUUUACUAAGGGAAAUGUUUUGACAAUUCGAAGGAUAUGCAUCUUCAAAUGGACUCGACUAUCUUUAAAUUAUAUUUCCACUUUGUCACUAAGUUUAUGUAACAUGACACUUUGGUCAUAUUAAAAGAAGUUUACAACACAAUAUGCGCUGAAGCCAAGUCAGUGUUACUCUUGAUGCAAUAUUUAACUCGUAGGUAUGGUUUGAUUUUAAUUUUAAAUAGAAAUCAAUCAGUGUGUGUUGAAAUUUUUUAUUAAUGUAAUUUAAAUUUUCCAACCCGGGUGUCUACCCGGGUGAUAACCAAGUCUAUAUAUAUUAAUAAAUGAGAUGAUUUGGGUCAUGUGUCUUUGAAUGGUGGAGCCAUUUUGCUUAUGUGGCAUCCUAUGGUUGAGGAGAUGGUGAUUUUGGGAGGGAAGACACAAUAUUAGAUGUUUUGAAAAUUGGACACGGGAUCCGAAUUAUAAUCGGGUCAAAGUUAAUGGAUCUUAUAUAUCAUCUUUUCCAAACAACAAUUGUUCACAGCCUCACUUUUUUCAAACCCUAGAUCCAUUUUUCUCUAAUCUGGUUCUUCCUUCUUCACCGAUCGAGCAUAGGUAUGUUAAUUUUCUUUUCUGUCUUUGAUUUUUCUUUGUUAUUUUAAACACAAUCUAUCUCUUUCUUAAACCCUAGAUAUCAUCUAUCGAUCAUCGCCGCAUCUUCUUCUUAAAUCACCAUAUACCAGCGAUUUGUCGGAAAAUUCGAAAUUCUAACGAUUCAGUAACCAGUUGCCAUGGCUUAAUGCUCAUCUUACAAAGAUCUGGCCUUUUGUUAACGAGAUCGAACAUGUUAUAGGUGUGUUUAAUCAAUAAUCUAUAAAAAGAUUUAAGAUCAUUAGACAUAUAGUCAAGACUCGGAAUGUUCGUCUACCAAAACAGUUAUGGAUCCUAAAACAACGCUCCAAACGUUUUUAAAGUUGAUUGAUGACUAUGAUCCAAUAUAAAAAUCGGACUCCGAUAAUUCCUCAAACAAAAGAGAAUGUUCGUCUACCAAAAUAGAAUGGUCGUCUACCAAAACAGUUAUGGAUCCUAAAAACAACGCUCCAAUCGUUUUUAAAUUUGAUUGAUGACUAUGAUCCUAUAUUUUUGGAAAUACUGUAUGAUUUUGCAAGCUUAUUGUGGAGAGAAAAAGUUUCAUAUGGUCAAUGUCUUGAACUUAUUGAUGAUGACUUAUGCAAUUGCAGGAGUCCGAAUCUUCUUCGAACACAAGAGAUAAGUUUAAUUUUAUCGUUUUUUUUUUUUUUUGUGUUUUUUGAUCUAGUAUAAUGAUAGUUUUCAUCGUUUAUGUUA